rnacentral:rRNA from 1 species
UAGGGAAUCUUCGGCAAUGGACGAAAGUCUGACCGAGCAACGCCGCGUGAGUGAAGAAGGUUUUCGGAUCGUAAAACUCUGUUGUUAGAGAAGAACAAGGACGUUAGUAACUGAACGUCCCCUGACGGUAUCUAACCAGAAAGCCACGGCUAACUACGUGCCAGCAGCCGCGGUAAUACGUAGGUGGCAAGCAUUGUCCGGAUUUAUUGGGCGUAAAGCGAGCGCAGGCGGUUUCUUAAGUCUGAUGUGAAAGCCCCCGGCUCAACCGGGGAGGGUCAUUGGAAACUGGGAGACUUGAGUGCAGAAGAGGGGAGUGGAAUUCCAUGUGUAGCGGUGAAAUGCGUAGAUAUAUGGAGGAACACCAGUGGCGAAGGCGGCUCUCUGGUCUGUAACUGACGCUGAGGCUCGAAAGCGUGGGGAGCAAACAGG